UUGACAGUUUCAAAAUAAUUGCAAAUAACAAAAGUGACUCUUAAUUUUUUUUAAAGGGAAACAGUUCUUAUCCAUGUGUUUUUUUGACUUGACUUUGCUACUAAACCUUAAGAAUGGUCAUAUGUUCAGUACUAAUUCAAAUGUGGAAGGGACACGAUGUGAGCAAUUGCCUGCCUUGAGCGCUUUGUUGGUGGAUUGGACAUAUCUGAUAAAGACAUUGAUAAGGCAAAAGAGUGUACAAUGAAUUUGUAAGGCGUAUUUGGACGGCGUUCUGAUAUACAAGUUAUAUUUGCAAGAAGAUAGAGAGAACAAGAAUCGACUAUUUCAAGAAUGUGAGUACAAACUCUGUUCUUUGUUGAAGGCGGUCGAUGGCCCUCAGAAUUUGUCUUUGUGAAUAUGGAUGCUUCGCCUUAUAGUCUCCUUCAAUCACUUUUUGAUCAUGAACACCAUGUUGGAAUACUUGAUGAGGAGAAGAUCUUACAAUGGAUACAGAAAUCAAUGUUGGUGUUUGCAAUUUGGAA